ACAUGCAGAGAACUUUCCAGAGAUGGAUUGGUGGCCUUCGGGAACUCUGACACAGGUGCUGCGUGGCUGUCGUCAGCUCGUGUCGUGAGAUGUUGGGUUAAGUCCGUAACGAGCGCAACCCUUGUCCUUAGUUACCAGCACGUUAUGGUGGGCACUCUAAGGAGACUGCCGGUGACAACCGGAGGAAGGUGGGGAUGACGUCAAGUCAUCAUGGCCCUUACGGCCUGGGCUACACACGUGCUACAAUGGUCGGUACAAAGGGUUGCCAAGCCGCGAGGUGGAGCUAAUCCCAUAAAACCGAUCGUAGUCCGGAUCGCAGUCUGCAACUCGACUGCGUGAAGUCGGAAUCGCUAGUAAUCGUGAAUCAGAAUGUCACGGUGAAUACGUUCCCGGGCCUU
rnacentral:rRNA from 1 species